rnacentral:rRNA from 1 species
AACGAACGCUGGCGGCAUGCCUAACACAUGCAAGUCGAACGGGAUCCUGGCUUCGGUCAGGUGAGAGUGGCGGACGGGUGAGUAACGCGUGGGAACCUGCCCAGUGGUGGGGGAUAACUGCGGGAAACUGCAGCUAAUACCGCAUGAGCCCGAGAGGGGAAAGAUUUAUCGCCAUUGGAGGGGCCCGCGUUCGAUUAGGUAGUUGGUGAGGUAACGGCUCACCAAGCCGACGAUCGAUAGCUGGUCUGAGAGGAUGAUCAGCCACACUGGGACUGAGAUACGGCCCAGACUCCUACGGGAGGCAGCAGUGGGAAUAUUGGACAAUGGGCGAAAGCCUGAUCCAGCAAUGCCGCGUGAGUGAUGAAGGCCUUAGGGUUGUAAAGCUCUUUUACCCGGGAUGAUAAUGACAGUACCGGGAGAAUAAGCUCCGGCUAACUCGUGCCAGCAGCCGCGGUAAU